rnacentral:rRNA from 1 species
CCUUGAAAUACCACCCUUUAAUGGCUGGUGUUCUAACGUAGACCCGUGAUCCGGGUUGCGGACAGUGUCUGGUGGGUAGUUUGACUGGGGCGGUCUCCUCCCAAAGAGUAACGGAGGAGCACGAAGGUUGGCUAAUCCUGGUCGGACAUCAGGAGGUUAGUGCAAUGGCAUAAGCCAGCUUGACUGCGAGCGUGACGGCGCGAGCAGGUGCGAAAGCAGGUCAUAGUGAUCCGGUGGUUCUGAAUGGAAGGGCCAUCGCUCAACGGAUAAAAGGUACUCCGGGGAUAACAGGCUGAUACCGCCCAAGAGUUCAUAUCGACGGCGGUGUUUGGCACCUCGAUGUCGGCUCAUCACAUCCUGGGGCUGAAGUAGGUCCCAAGGGUAUGGCUGUUCGCCAUUUAAAGUGGUACGCGAGCUGGGUUUAGAACGUCGUGAGACAGUUCGGUCCCUAUCUGCCGUGGGCGCUGGAGAAUUGAGGGGGGCUGCUCCUAGUACGAGAGGACCGGAGUGGACGCAUCACUGGUGUUCGGGUUGUCAUGCCAAUGGCACUGCCCGGUAGCUAAAUGCGGAAGAGAUAAGUGCUGAAAGCAUCUAAGCACGAAACUUGCCCCGAGAUGAGUUCUCCCUGAGACUUUAAGUCUCCUGAAGGAACGUUGAAGACGACGACGUUGAUAGGUCGGGUGUGUAAGCGCAGCGAUGCGUUGAGCUAACCGAUACUAAUGAACCGUGAGGCUUAACCUUACAA